UACGUAGGGUGCAAGCGUUGUCCGGAAUUAUUGGGCGUAAAGAGCUCGUAGGCGGUCUGUCGCGUCUGCUGUGAAAACUCAGGGCUUAACCCUGAGCUUGCAGUGGGUACGGGCAGACUAGAGUGCGGUAGGGGAGACUGGAAUUCCUGGUGUAGCGGUGAAAUGCGCAGAUAUCAGGAGGAACACCGGUGGCGAAGGCGGGUCUCUGGGCCGUAACUGACGCUGAGGAGCGAAAGCAUGGGGAGCGUACAGG
rnacentral:rRNA from 1 species